ACAUGGAUGUGGACUCACCACCGCAUCUUCCCAUAGAGACCUCUGCUAACAAGGUCCAUUACUCUUUUCAUAUAUGUUCCUUGUGUCAUGGAUUGUUUUCAGCUAUGAACCCUAGCUCAGAUUGAGAUUAGAUUUAGUUUGCAAAGAAAGAAAUGGGUGCAAGAUUCAAUCCAUUCUUUAUUUGUGAUGAUGAAAUCCCACAUCAGUCCAUUUGUUGUUGUAUCCAACAAUUUCUCAGCUACGAGUCCUGAAAUGCAUGCUAAAAUGGACUUGCGUCCUUACUGAACAUAUUGUAUGUGUUGUCUGAAAAAGACAGGUCAGUAUCCAAUUGUUCAGAUUGCAACGAAGUCUAGACAGCAAAUAAGAUAUAUGUGUUAUCAGAUUCACUUGUCAAGUAGUCGGAUUUCACUGAGUUUGAAGGAUAGCAAUUUCUAACAAGG